UGCAGUGUGUCUGUUGGUAGAACAAAAUCAAUGCCAUGCUUUUCCAGGAGCAGAAGAUUUAUACAGAAUUUCUAUUCAUGCAAUGGAAUACCACAGGCGUCCUACAGGAGGAUAAGAACAGUCUAUGCUGUUGCUGCCAAAUGACCUCUGAGAUCCUUCAGGGACCCAGGCGUCCUGGCCCAGCACUCACAGGAGACACUGAGUUGGAUGGUUCUCUCCGUGGUCACACCAGCUCCGGGGAACGUCACUCGACAGAUUGACCCUCAUGGGCCAGAGAUGCCAGAGACUCGCCCAGAGAUGGGAGGAGAUGGAGCAGAAUCUGAGUCUUGCCUUCCAGGAGCACCAGAGCCUGGAUCAGUACCUUCGGGGCCAUCUGAGACAUGCGAACCCCAUGUCUAAAGUCCUUCCACUCUGAGGUGCUUUUCUGUGCACAACUGUUUACACCAGGCAGCUGGUCACUCCAGGCCUGGCCCGAGUCACGGCCUCUUCUUGACCUGUGGGGUGGUUCGUCCUGCAGGAUAUAGGUUUCUGUAGGGUUCAUGUAAGUGUCUGGGGCAGAAGAAAUGAAGAAGGGUCCUAGAUGUGGUGAAGGUGACAGUCAUUCAUUCAUUCAAUUCAUUCAUUCAUUCAUUCACCUAAGCUAUACCGAGCAUCUAUGUGCCAAUGAGGCUGGAGACAAGAAGAGAUGCCACUGACCUGGUCCCUCCCCUUUAGAUACUCCCCAUCCAUAGCCUCAUGUUCACCACACACAAAUACUGUUUGGCUUCACAGCUGUGGAUGCUGGUGACUUUGCCAUAUGUCAUGGUAUCAUAUGAGGUAUUUUUAAGAAGUAUGACUAUGGAUUUUUUCCCCUGGCAGUUAGUACACUGAUUUGCAAUGUUUCAGCGACAUCUCUAAAAUAAGAAACAUGUAGUAUUUUCAUGUAAAACGAAAGCUUCUGUGAACAAGUCCAGAAGAAAUUUCUUUUCCAUUAGUGUUGCCAUUCCCUGCAGUGGGGACAGCAGCAAUUUUUUUAUGGGGCUUACCAUAGAGAUUAGCAUUUUCUUUCAUGUAAAAAUACAUUUCUGAUAAUUAAAUGAGGCCCAAAGACAUAAUGUUUCCAGACAAUAUGAGUUGAAUGUACAGACAAAAUUAAAAUUUAGCUUCAGCUCA